UUUCGCAUUUAUUUGUUGCUCAGACUCGUUGCAAUCAAGAGUUUAAAGCCUCUGGCGGGCGCUCACCAGCCGGGGCCGGUGGCAGCGGGGCCGCGGCCCGCCAAAGCAACUGAAGUUGGUAUUCAAGGGGUGGAGAUGGCUCCCGGGGGAGUUCAGCUCUGUAAUGAUCCUUCCGCAGGUUCACCUACGAAAA
rnacentral:misc_RNA from 1 species